GCUCCCUCUGAGAUAUAAUAAAUUUCCUUUAGAAUUUCACUUAAAUUGACAUGAUUCUUUCUGAUCCUAUUUGAACAGAUCAACCCACUGACCACUGUGCAAAGUAAAGACAGCAGGAAAGAUGGAGAUCAAGUUACCAAGCCAGGUCCACCACUUGCUGCAUUACCAUGGAUGCCAAAGAAACACACACUUGAGCUUAUCCUAGAUAUAUUACAAAGGUAGCCAUUCUUUCAAAACUAUUAACUCAAAGAAUGAAAUGUUGUAAGCUAAGCUGCUAAGUUUAUAAUAAUUUAGAAGCAUUUACAUCAGUAAUUUCUGAUUGUUCUUCUUUGCUUGCGUUAUUUAUUGUUUAUCCAUUUUACUAUUGGGAGAGAUACUCAAGAAAUGUUUGCAGAACCAGUUGAUCCAAAUGAGGUUAGCAUCUAGCUAAUUGUUUCCUUCUCAUGUGUUGUUUCCUUUAUCAUUCGUUAUUUUUCUCUAAAUAAGGUAGAAGAUUACUAUGAAAUCAUCAAAGAUCCUAUGGAUUUUGGGACCAUGAGAGCUAAACUUCAUGAAGGAAUGUACAAUAGUCUUGAACAAUUUGAGCAUGAUGUGUUUCUAAUGCCUAGAAAUGCAAUGCACUUUAAUUCCUCAGGCACAAUUUAUUUUAGACAGGUAUGUUUAUCAAUCUUUGUUAAAAUUCUGAAGCAGUAUUCUUACAAUUCUCAGCUGAGAUAGUUU